UGUUUUUCGUCAGAGCCGCCGGACAUCAGGAACUGGUUCUCGAGUUACCAGUACGAGUCGCCGGAGGUGCCGGAGCUGGCUGUUGACCCUCCUGCUGUCCACAACGGCAGCGAGACCCAAGACCCAUCGGAGUACCGGGUGGCUGAGCAUUCAUUUCUGAAACACGCCCCUCGGGAUGGCGGUACCGAUUUGAAGGGGGGCUGUUUGGGGAGCCAAGCACAAGCAGAACCCGCUGAGGUUUCUGCUAGAAGAGACAUCCUUCCGAUUGGUAGGAGCACGGUGGAACAGGGCACGAAAAGGAAGCAAAGUCUGCGGGGGCUGUUUGGGGCAGGUUUUCUGGACGACCAUGAAGAAGCUACACAAACUGAAGGCCGUGUCGUGUCGCCUGUGCAGAGAAGUGCAGUGGAUCCUCCGUGGAACCGCAACUGGAAUAGAAAGCGCAGCCAUGAAGGCGCAGUUGACGACAACGAGCUGCUGACGGAUAGUGAGAGCACUUGUAUAGCUGAAACUCAAGUAAAGCCCCCAGGAGGUCAGGAGACUAACCACACCAAACGGCCAGUAAAUUGUGGUGGUACUAGUUUAGCAGCAGAUACUGAAGAAGGUUUCCUUGAAGAUGGCAAUGAACAUUGCAACCUGCCAGUCAAUACUCAUAGUCAAGUCCUAGCUGAUACUGAGAAAACUGGCAUCAAACACCACAUACUGCCUGCUAAUUCUAAUGGUAUUGGUUCAGCUGUCACAGAAGAAAGCUUUCCUGGAGAUGAAAUCAGCCGAAGCAAGCGUAAACUGGAGCAUAAGAAAACAGAAGAAACAGCUGCGGCGGAUGGUUUUGUUGCCAUCAGGACAAAGGUGAAGCCAGCUGAGGAUUUCAGGACAAACAAGAUUCCCAAGGUCUCAACAGGAAGAAAGAACACAACAUUGCAAGAGAGCCGCUGCAUAUCGAGCACUACUCCUUUGGUCCAAGGUAGCACUAGAAGCCCCUUGUCAGAUAGGACCAAUAUUUCAGAAGUUGCAGGAGCUCCAUCACAGGAGAUCAGCGGCAAAUGGAAGCACCCUCGCAAAGGCAAGCCCAACGUUGGCCCUCCGAUGAUACAGCUGCGGUUGGAACAAUGGGUGCGCCGAGUGUAA
rnacentral:rRNA from 1 species